CAGCUGCCACUAGUCCAUAGAUGAUGGGGAAUCCCUUGUGCACGUUGUUUUUAUAUUUAUUUUGGUUUAGCUCCAUUCCUUCACUUGAUUUUUGCUCCUGCUUAGUCAUCCAAUAAUAUAAGCUUUUACUAUGGCCUUGGGGUAACUCACCGAUUCGAAGCCAACCAAUAAAGUGUUACAUUCAUUUGAGUUGGCUAUUGUUCUUUGUACCUCUCUUAAUUCCUUUUUAUUUUUAUGGCCUUGCAGAAAUUUGUUCUACAGAAAUUGGUGGUAUUUCCUCUCAAACUUCAGAAUUUGUGACUUUUGAACAAUUAUAUGGGGAACUGUUUGGAUAAGAGGUGAAUGGUUGGAAAGUGGAAACUUUACUUGGGAUUCCAGACCACCUGCAGAGAUGAACUUGGUUGACUGGUUUAAGGGAA